rnacentral:rRNA from 1 species
CCUACGGGGGGCACCAGUGGGGAAUAUUGCACAAUGGGCACAAGCCUGAUGCAGCCAUGCCGCGUGUAUGAAGAUGGCCUUCGGGUUGUAAAGUACUUUCAGCGGGGAGGAAGGUGUUGUGGUUAAUAACCGCAGCAAUUGACGUUACCCGCAGAAGAAGCACCGGCUAACUCCGUGCCAGCAGCCGCGGUAAUGCGGAGGGUGCAAGCGUUAAUCGGAAUUACUGGGCGUAAAGCGCACGCAGGCGGUCUGUCAAGUCGGAUGUGAAAUCCCCGGGCUCAACCUGGGAACUGCAUUCGAAACUGGCAGGCUAGAGUCUUGUAGAGGGGGUAGAAUUCCAGGUGUAGCGGUGAAAUGCGUAGAGAUCUGGAGGAAUACCGGCGGCGAAGGCGGCCCCCUGGACAAAGACUGACGCUCAGGUGCGAAAGCGUGGGGAGCAAACAGGAUUAGAUACCCUUGUAGUC